rnacentral:rRNA from 1 species
UACGGAGGGUGCAAACGUUGCUCGGAAUCAUUGGGCGUAAAGCGCACGUAGGCGGCUAGAUAAGUCGGGUGUGAAAGCCCUGGGCUCAACCCAGGAAGUGCAUUCGAAACUGUCUAGUUUGAAUCUCGGAGGGGGUCAGAGAAUUCCCGGUGUAGAGGUGAAAUUCGUAGAUAUCGGGAGGAAUACCAGUGGCGAAGGCGCUGACCUGGACGAAGAUUGACGCUGAGGUGCGAAAGCGCGGGGAGCAAACAGG